rnacentral:SRP_RNA from 1 species
GCUGGGCAUGGUGGUGCACGCCUGUAGUCCCAGCUACUUGGGAAGCUGAGAUGGGAGGAUCACUUGAGUCCAGGGGAUCAAGGCUGUGAUGAGCUGUGAUCGCACCACUGCACCCCAGCCUGGGCGACAGAGUGAGACCCCAUCUGAA